UUUAUUUGGUGAGAAAAGAUUAUGUUUUUGCAGUGAAUAAUAUGAGAAGGGAGAAAAAUAGAGAAAACAAAGGGGAAAGAAAAAAGGAAAAGAAAAAAGAAAAAAUUAAAUUGUUCAAAAUAAUAAAAGUAUAAGAGCUUAUUUUAACAAAUGGAAAAUAUAGAAAAAUUACGUUAAAAGAAAUGAUAAAUGGAGGAAAAUAGAGGGAGAAGGAGAAGAAAAUGGAAAAUAAAGAAAAAAAAUGGGGAAAGUUCAAAGAACAUAAAAUAAAAAAAUUAAAUUGCUCAACACAAAAAAAAAU
rnacentral:lncRNA from 1 species